rnacentral:misc_RNA from 1 species
AACAUCGCGCACCUGCGGGAACCUGCGGAAGGAUCAUUACCUAUUUGGCCUUUGUGGCUACGCUCGGGGGGCCUUUGGUCCCCGUCUGCACCCUUGUCUUUGCGCACUCAUGUUUCCUCGGUGGGCUUGCCUGCCGCUAGGACAACCUAAACUCUUGAAUUUUCAAUCAGCGUCUGAUAACAAUAAUAUUUACAACUUUUAACAAUGGAUCU